CCCUGACAGUCGCAUGGUGCGGCUGACUAACCCUAGACAGGAGAUCAACAUG
ncrna:unclassified sequences Mu-gpT-DE RNA